rnacentral:lncRNA from 1 species
UAAAUUAAUUAUCGUAUUAUAAUGUUAGUAAAAUAUUUUUGUUUGUAUCAUUAUUGUUUCAUUAUGUGACAUGCUCUUUUUCAU